rnacentral:rRNA from 1 species
UGGGCGUAAGCGCGCGCAGGUGGUUUCUUAAGUCUGAUGUGAAAGCCCACGGCUCAACCGUGGAGGGUCAUUGGAUACUGGGAGACUUGAGUGCAGAAGAGGAAAGUGGAAUUCCAUGUGUAGCGGUGAAAUGCGUAGAGAUAUGGAGGAACACCAGUGGCGAAGGCGACUUUCUGGUCUGUAACUGACACUGAGGCGCGAAAGCGUGGGGAGCAAACAGGAUUAGAUACCCUGGUAGUCCACGCCGUAAACGAUGAGUGCUAAGCGUUAGAGGGCUUCCGCCCUUUAGUGCUGAAGUUAACGCAUUAAGCACUCCGCCUGGAGAGUACGGCCGCAAGACUGAAACU